rnacentral:rRNA from 1 species
AGGUAAGCUACUAAGAGCGAAUGGUGGAUGCCUUGACUGGUAAAGGCGAUGAAGGACGUACUAGACUGCGAUAAGCUACGGGGAGCUGUCAAGAAGCUUUGAUCCGUAGAUUUCCGAAUGGGGCAACCCAAUGUAUAGAGAUAUACAUUACCUAUAUAGGAGCGAACGAGGGGAAUUGAAACAUCUUAGUACCCUCAGGAAAAGAAAUCAAUAGAGAUUGCGUCAGUAGCGGCGAGCGAAAGCGCAAGAGGGCAAACCCAGUGCUUGCACUGGGGGUUGUAGGACUGCAAUGUGCAAGAGGUAAGUUUAGCAGAACAUUCUGGAAAGUAUAGCCAUAGAGGGUGAUAGUCCCGUAUGCGAAAAACAAACCUUAGCUAGCAGUAUCCUGAGUAGGGCGGGACACGAGGAAUCCUGUCUGAAUCCGGGUCGACCACGAUCCAACCCUAAAUACUAAUACCAGAUCGAUAGUGCACAAGUACCGUGAGGGAAAGGUGAAAAGAACUGAGGUGAUCAGAGUGAAAUAGAACCUGAAACCAUUUGCUUACAAUCAUUCAGAGCCCUAUGUAGCAAUACAGGGUGAUGGACUGCCUUUUGCAUAAUGAGCCUGCGAGUUGUGGUGUCUGGCAAGGUUAAGCAAACGCGAAGCCGUAGCGAAAGCGAGUCUGAAUAGGGCGCUUAGUCAGAUGCUGCAGACCCGAAACGAAGUGAUCUAUCCAUGAGCAAGUUGAAGCUAGUGUAAGAACUAGUGGAGGACUGAACCCAUAGGCGUUGAAAAGCCCCGGGAUGACUUGUGGAUAGGGGUGAAAGGCCAAUCAAACUUCGUGAUAGCUGGUUCUCUCCGAAAUAUAUUUAGGUAUAGCGUUGUGUCGUAAUAUAAGGGGGUAGAGCACUGAAUGGGCUAGGGCAUACACCAAUGUACCAAACCCUAUCAAACUCCGAAUACCUUAUAUGUAAUCACAGCAGUCAGGCGGCGAGUGAUAAAAUCCGUCGUCAAGAGGGAAACAACCCAGACUACCAGCUAAGGUCCCUAAGUCUUACUUAAGUGGAAAACGAUGUGAAGUUACUUAAACAACCAGGAGGUUGGCUUAGAAGCAGCCAUCCUUUAAAGAAAGCGUAAUAGCUCACUGGUCUAGUGAUUUUGCGCGGAAAAUAUAACGGGGCUAAAGUAAGUACCGAAGCUGUAGACUUAGUUUACUAAGUGGUAGGAGAGCGUUCUAUUUGCGUCGAAGGUAUACCGGUAAGGAGUGCUGGAGCGAAUAGAAGUGAGCAUGCAGGCAUGAGUAGCGAUAAUUAAUGUGAGAAUCAUUAACGCCGUAAACCCAAGGUUUCCUACGCGAUGCUCGUCAUCGUAGGGUUAGUCGGGUCCUAAGUCGAGUCCGAAAGGGGUAGACGAUGGCAAAUUGGUUAAUAUUCCAAUACCAACAUUAGUGUGCGAUGGAAGGACGCUUAGGGCUAAGGGGGCUAGCGGAUGGAAGUGCUAGUCUAAGGUCGUAGGAGGUUAUACAGGCAAAUCCGUAUAACAAUACUCCGAGAACUGAAAGGCUUUUUGAAGUCUUCGGAUGGAUAGAAGAACCCCUGAUGCCGUCGAGCCAAGAAAAGUUUCUAAGUUUAGCUAAUGUUGCCCGUACCGUAAACCGACACAGGUGGGUGGGAUGAGUAUUCUAAGGCGCGUGGAAGAACUCUCUUUAAGGAACUCUGCAAAAUAGCACCGUAUCUUCGGUAUAAGGUGUGGUUAGCUUUGUAUUAGGAUUUACUCCGAAAGCAA